rnacentral:rRNA from 1 species
AUUGAACGCUGGCGGCAGGCUUAACACAUGCAAGUCGAGCGAGAGGCGGACGGGUGAGUAAUGUCUGGGAAUCUGCCUGAUGGAGGGGGAUAACUACUGGAAACGGUAGCUAAUACCGCAUACCAUCAGAUGUGCCCAAGUGGGAUUAGGUAGUAGGUGGGGUAAAGGCUCACCAAGGCGACGAUCCCUAGCUGGUCUGAGAGGAUGACCAGCCACACUGGAACUGAGACACGGUCCAGACUCCUACGGGAGGCAACAGUGGGGAAUGUUGCACAAGGGGGGCAAGCCUGAUACAGCCAUGCCGCGUGUGUGGAGAAGGCCUUCGGGUUGUAAAGGACUUUCAGCGAGGAGGCGUUACUCGCAGAAGAAGCACCGGCUAACUCCGGGCCAGCAGCCGCGGUAAUAC